ACUCUGGUAUUGAUUGGUGCUUGCAUCAUGAUUUACAUUUGAGUGAGUGGCGAACUGGUGAGUAACACGUGGGAAACCUGCCCAGAAGCGGGGGAUAACACCUGGAAACAGAUGCUAAUACCGCAUAACAACUUGGACCGCAUGGUCCGAGUUUGAAAGAUGGCUUCGGCUAUCACUUUUGGAUGGUCCCGCGGCGUAUUAGCUAGAUGGUGGGGUAACGGCUCACCAUGGCAAUGAUACGUAGCCGACCUGAGAGGGUAAUCGGCCACAUUGGGACUGAGACACGGCCCAAACUCCUACGGGAGGCAGCAGUAGGGAAUCUUCCACAAUGGACGAAAGUCUGAUGGAGCAACGCCGCGUGAGUGAAGAAGGGUUUCGGCUCGUAAAACUCUGUUGUUAAAGAAGAACAUAUCUGAGAGUAACUGUUCAGGUAUUGACGGUAUUUAACCAGAAAGCCACGGCUAACUACGUGCCAGCAGCCGCGGUAAUACGUAGGUGGCAAGCGUUGUCCGGAUUUAUUGGGCGUAAAGCGAGCGCAGGCGGUUUUUUAAGUCUGAUGUGAAAGCCUUCGGCUCAACCGAAGAAGUGCAUCGGAAACUGGGAAACUUGAGUGCAGAAGAGGACAGUGGAACUCCAUGUGUAGCGGUGAAAUGCGUAGAUAUAUGGAAGAACACCAGUGGCGAAGGCGGCUGUCUGGUCUGUAACUGACGCUGAGGCUCGAAAGUAUGGGUAGCAAACAGGAUUAGAUACCCUGGUAGUCCAUACCGUAAACGAUGAAUGCUAAGUGUUGGAGGGUUUCCGCCCUUCAGUGCUGCAGCUAACGCAUUAAGCAUUCCGCCUGGGGAGUACGGCCGCAAGGCUGAAACUCAAAGGAAUUGACGGGGGCCCGCACAAGCGGUGGAGCAUGUGGUUUAAUUCGAAGCUACGCGAAGAACCUUACCAGGUCUUGACAUACUAUGCAAAUCUAAGAGAUUAGACGUUCCCUUCGGGGACAUGGAUACAGGUGGUGCAUGGUUGUCGUCAGCUCGUGUCGUGAGAUGUUGGGUUAAGUCCCGCAACGAGCGCAACCCUUAUUAUCAGUUGCCAGCAUUAAGUUGGGCACUCUGGUGAGACUGCCGGUGACAAACCGGAGGAAGGUGGGGAUGACGUCAAAUCAUCAUGCCCCUUAUGACCUGGGCUACACACGUGCUACAAUGGAUGGUACAACGAGUUGCGAACUCGCGAGAGUAAGCUAAUCUCUUAAAGCCAUUCUCAGUUCGGAUUGUAGGCUGCAACUCGCCUACAUGAAGUCGGAAUCGCUAGUAAUCGCGGAUCAGCAUGCCGCGGUGAAUACGUUCCCGGGCCUUGUACACACCGCCCGUCACACCAUGAGAGUUUGUAACACCCAAAGUCGGUGGGGUAACCUUUUAGGAACCAGCCGCCUAAGGUGGGACAGAUGAUUAGGGUGAAGUCGUAACAGGGAAACCCGUAAAAAGGGUGAUCGGGGGUCAGUGAGGUCGGAAAAAGGGAACCGGAAAACCGUAACCAUGGGACAUGCGCCGCUAACGGCCAAAUAUCACAACGGGUAAACUCCGCAAGAAGGAGAAUCAACUC
rnacentral:rRNA from 1 species